AGAGCGGGAGCCCGGAGAUGGGCACUGAGACAAGGGCCCAGGCCCUACGGGGCGCAGCAGUCGCGAAAACUCCGCAAUGCACGAAAGUGUGACGGGGCUACCCCGAGUGCCGUCCGCUGAGGAUGGCUUUUCCCCGGUAUAACAAGCCGGGGGAAUAAGGAGAGGGCAAGACUGGUGUCAGCCGCCGCGGUAAUACCAGCUCUCCGAGUGGUAGGGAUGAUUAUUGGGCUUAAAGCGUCCGUAGCCGGCUUGGCAAGUCUCCUGUUAAAUUCAGCGACCUAAUCGUUGAGCCGCGGGAGAUACUACUAGGCUAGGAGGCGGGAGAGGCCGACGGUACUUCUGGGGUAGGGGUGAAAUCCUAUAAUCCCGGGAGGACCACCAGUGGCGAAGGCUGUCGACU
rnacentral:rRNA from 1 species